rnacentral:rRNA from 1 species
CCAGACUCCUACGGGAGGCAGCAGUGGGGGAUAUUGCACAAUGGGGGGAACCCUGAUGCAGCGACGCCGCGUGGGUGAAGAAGCGCCUCGGCGCGUAAAGCCCUGUCAGCAGGGAAGAAAAUGACGGUACCUGACUAAGAAGCCCCGGCUAACUACGUGCCAGCAGCCGCGGUAAUACGUAGGGGGCAAGCGUUAUCCGGAAUUACUGGGUGUAAAGGGAGCGCAGACGGCAGUGCAAGUCCGGAGUGAAAGCCCGUGGCUUAACCACGGGACUGCUCUGGAAACUGUGCAGCUAGAGUGCAGGAGAGGCAGGCGGAAUUCCUAGUGUAGCGGUGAAAUGCGUAGAUAUUAGGAGGAACACCAGUGGCGAAGGCGGCCUGCUGGACGACAACUGACGGUGGGGCGCGGAAGCGUGGGGAGCAAACAGGAUUAGAUACCCUAGUAUA